GACGAACGCUGGCGGCGUGCUUAACACAUGCAAGUUGAACGGGAUUCGCUCUAUGAAGUGUAAUAGCGAAUUAGAGUGAUGAGAGUAGCGGACGGGCGAGUAACGCGUGAGUAACCUGCCCUUUGCUGGGGGAUAACAUCGGGAAACCGGUGCUAAUACCGCAUAAGACCACAGUGCCACAUGGUACAGCGGUCAAAGCUCCGGCGGCAAAGGAUGGACUCGCGUCCAAUUAGCUAGUUGGUAGGGUAACGGCCUACCAAGGCGACGAUUGGUAUCCGAACUGAGAGGUUGAUCGGACGCAUUGGGACUGAGACACGGCCCAGACUCCUACGGGAGGCAGCAGUGGGGAAUAUUGCGCAAUGGGGGCAACCCUGACGCAGCAACGCCGCGUGAAGGAUGAAGGCUUUCGGGUGUAAACUUCUUUGAUCGGGGACGAAGAUGACGGUACCCGAGGAACAAGCCAACGGCUAAACUACGUAGCCCAGCAGCCGCGGUAAAAGUC
rnacentral:rRNA from 1 species